AGUCAGGUUUAGCCUAAACCGGCUCAGUUAUGGUUGAGGUGCAAACACACCCUCCAUUUCUGCUACCUAUAUGACCCCUUCUCUUUUCCAAUGGUUAUAAUCAGUCUGACAGAGAGGGGGACCCUCAAUCCUUGUGGUAUUUAGUAUAACAAUGGCCACCAGUGGGCCCUAGAUGGACAAACAUUAUCAGUUUAUUAUUUUACUUAAUACCCCUACCCAUAGCCCAUUCUAAAAUGUCCAAACUCUAACACUUAAUAGUUUAAUCUAACUUCCCCAACAACCCUGCAUCAUUCCAAACCCUUUGUGAAGUGUCUUGAGAUGAUAUGUGUUGUGAAUUGACGCUAUUUAAGUAAAACUGAAUUGAAUUGAACUUCUGAAUUUAAAGAAAGUAAUAAGACAUUUCUAAAAAACAAACCUCAGUCCUGGGGGCAGAAUUUAACUUUUUAUUUCUUCUACUUUCUUUACUGCAAGUUCUAAUAGUUAAACCUAAACAUAUGUGAUAUUCACAGAAAUAGUAGAAUCUUGGCUAAAAGCUGAUAUAAACCAUUUCUACAAACACCAAAAAUACUUAAAACCAAAGGCAGUUGAAUCAAAAAAUAAAGAAACUCCACAAAAUGACAUAACCGCAAAACUCUCAAAGCUCAGCUGUUCACCACUAGGCCUCUACACACACAACCAGCAUGUCAGCUAUAAACAGAGAGCUAGUUGGCUGUUAGUGUAAAAUCACAAAUGUCCUGUUAAGGUUAAAGUUGGACCCCUCAUGUUAUAAGGAGACAUAACUACUAGGUGAACUGUCAUACUGACUGAUAUGACAUCAGAACUCAAAAUGACCAAAUAAACUCCUUUCUGUACUUUUCAUAUGCCAAAACCUUAAAGUUCUUAAAGUAACCUGACAAGUGUGGCUCUGUAACAUCGACACAUGCAUGCACACAGAAAACCCUAGCUGGCUCCCCUGCUGGCUCGCAGAGCUGUGACUGUGGGAGGGAGGCCAAAUUGUUUGUCUCUCCUUGUGUCAAGGCUCUGCAGCGGGGAUGAAAACAUGGGAAAAGCAUAUCCGUCUCUGGCUUCUCGCUGAUGGCUCCAUCAGGUAAAAGCAACAGGGAGCCUGACGGUAAAUGAGCUUUAAGGUCUAUGUCUGUGUAUGAGGCAGUGUGAGUGUAUGCAUUACAGCUCGAUGCUAAAAAUCUGAAUGGUUUUUAUUAACACUGUACACACCCAGACACCAAGGUCAGUUGUUUUAAUGAAGGCUCUCCUGUUUUAUCCCCCCAGCUGUACAUUAAUAAAGUACAAGCUCUGAACCUUGAAUGAUGUGACAUAGUUAAUUUACAUAAACUACAUUACAUAAGUAAAAGUAAAAGGCCCUCACUGAAAAGCACAAUCCUUGCUUUAAAGUCAUAAUUUUAAUGUAUUGUAGAAACUCAGGGUACUCAGAAAGCCUACACAGGCACACAGAGAAUAUGGAAACCCCACUUAGAGGGAGAUUUGAAUAAAUAAUAAAUCAGAACAGCAGGAUGAUAGCUGCACCUCUUAAUCAGGAGGUUAGCCCAUGUAUUGGCCUUCACCUUAAAGCAGUUUAAGGUAAAUUUAUGUACCCUUAGAUGUCAAAUGUGAUUUUGUACCUUUAAAAUAAAACAAUGCCCAGAGCAAUUACUUCAAGGACCAAUUCUCCCCCUCACAGGGUUCUGUUCCGAAGGCUGUAACUUUGCAAACUAAUAUGACAACCUCUUUUUUUCGGUGUGAAGUCAGAGUUUAGCAAUUGUAAAAUCUGUCCUGUAAAUGAGCUGAAAAUGUUAUUAUAUUCUCAUAAUGACAAAAGCUGUUCAGCACUAGGUUAAGCACCCAGACUAUUAUCAGGUUUUGACAUAAAUAGGUCCACAUGAAGACCAGGGCAAGAAUGGAAAUGAUUCACUUUGCAAGGAGCUGGCAUGUCUAGAUUGGAACCAGAACUUAUAAAGGGUGACAUCACAAGUGGAGCAUUAGUGUUACAGGCAGUGCCUAGAGUGUCAGUCAAAGCAGUGAGUGAAGGUCAAAAGACACACAGGGUGUUGUGUAGACACAGAGGCAGCACUACAAGCUUUUGGUGGAUAAAAUAGGGUCACAUAUUUGGCUUGAAUUACGCUCAGUGGUCACAUGUUACAAUCACUCUCCAUUAUGGGCAUGCUGAUAUCACAGUGGCCCAAGAUAGGAACUAAUGGGUAAAUCUCAGUACCCACUUGUGAUGUCGUGUAUUUGUAGACAUUUUAUAAUGAAAGUACACCCUCCAUAAGGUCAAAUUGUUCCAUGUAUAAACCUUUGCCAGGUUCUAAAAUGACUUAAAUCUGACCUCAGAUAUAAAGCAUUACACAAAAAGUUCCAGACUGUCAUAGAUCAUUAAAUAAAUAUGAAGGCAAAAUGAAAAUGUUUGUGGAAAACAAAGUCCACUCGAUCAUUUAGUAGCUUGUAGAACCACAUUUAGCAGCUGUACCUUGAAACAGUCACUGUCUGUCACUCUUCUUGGUAUGGCAUUGCUUCAUUGCUUGCAAGACCCAGUGCCGAACCAGCUUUUGUUGCACUAAAGAUUACCUCACAUUUGCCCAUGGAAUACUACAGUAGUUUAUGGUCACCACAUUUAUUACAAGGUGUCCAAGUUCGGCAAAACAAGCCCAAAUCAUCAGACCUCUACUACCGUGCUUAUCAGUUGGUCUGGUGUUUGUACUGAUAUGCUAUCCUCAAGAGAAAAAACUGUAAAAUCUUUGGCUUUCAUUGAGGUUGUGAGACUUGCUUCAGUCUAGUCCAUUCCUAGUGCUAAUACCCCUCUCAAAUCCUAUGGUAGCAGCAAGGGUGUGCUUCAUUUUUCACUCACAUUUAUUCCAUUUUACCAUCAUUUCUGCUUAAUAAGAGGUAACUCUUGUAUGUCUUUGCACACUUGUGGUGAGAUUUAAAUGAUUUGUGAACCAAGUAAAGACCAUUAUUUAUUACAUCUGUCUGAAACCUAGACGUAAAAGAGGUGUACAUUAUUUUUACUCUUACUAGGUAUGCAUUUCACCAAUGUGUUUGUACUAAUAUCUGGCUCUUACCAUGUGCAAAUGUUGAUGGGAUAGUUAUGCAACUACAUGGAGAGCACUUCUUCACUCCUGACUCUGCCUGCAGAUAAGUUUAAAAGGCUAUAAGGUCACAACCUUAGAGGGUAAUGUUUUACAAUGACACGGCCAGGGAGGUCUGAUUGGUCUCCGCUGGAGCAUGCUGCUGUUGACUUCACACCCAGCCAUAGAGAAAAGGAGAGACACAUAACCCAGUGCGAGAAAGGAAGGGGAAGAAGAAGAAUGGCAAUGCAGGUUUGUGUGUGGUGGGGUUCGUUGGCCACUGAUAUGGUGGGGUGGGGGGUGGGCUGUAAAUAACUCUUCGUGGUUGAUGGAUGGACACCAGUAGUUUCAGAGAAUGUUCUCUUUCACCUGCCUUUUAGGAUAUCCUGCUAAGAAUCAAUGAGGAGGAGCACCACUAACAUUGUAAAAGUUCCUCUCAGUAUCUCUACCCUGAGAUUUUUCUUUCGCACCAAACCCAGAAGCCACAACAUAUUCAGAGUGCACAGAGAAAAGUCAGUCAGUCAUUUUCUACCGCUCCUUCCAUAGUGGGUCACGGGGGAGCUGGUGCCUAUCUCCAGCAGUCUACUGGCGAGAGGCGGGGUUCACCCUGGACAGGUCGCCAGUCCAUCGCAGGGCAACACAGAAACAUAGGGGAAAACAACCAUCCACACACUCAUUCACACCUAAGGGCUACUUAGAGAGACCUAUUUACCUAACAGUCAUGUUUUUGGACUGUGAGAGGGAGUUAGAGUACCUGGAAAGAACCCACGCUUUCACGAGGAGAACAUGCAAACUCCAUGCAGAAAGACCCCCAACCACUGUGCAGCUCACACAAAAAUGAAUUUUAAGCAACACCACUGAUACAAGAUUUGUUCAAAUUAAAAUAUUUAUUUACACAAAAAAUAUAAAAACAAUAUUUCAGGAACUUCACAAGGAUUCUAAAUAAAUUUAUGUCUGAACCAAGUUUUGUUCAGUGAGUGAGAUUAAAUAAUCUAAUCAACCAUUUGUUUCCGUAGCAGUUUUUAAAGUUAUUUAUUUCAAAUUUAUAUUUAAAAAAAAACAAGUAUUCUUUUGACACUGAAUGAUUUUGCGUCUGUACUGUAUUUCAUUUGUUUGUGUAAUGUAUUAGUUUAAUAUUAGUAUAAAAUUUGUAUUAUUCUCAGUUUUUUUUUUCAUUUGUUUGUACAUUUGAAUAUAAAAAAUUAGCCACUAAGAUUAUUUAAAUUAUAUUCAAGCAUAACAGUUAGUACAUGUAAUGUUCUAUGUUUGGUAACAACAUGAACUCCUUUUCUAGAACUAAAUCUCACCAAAACAUUUUUUCAGAAUCUGAAUAUGUUGGUUCAGUCAACAGUUUUUCUAAUUUUUCGUGCACAGUAUAGCUGAUAGUUAUGGGAUGUAUUACAAAUAAAUACAGACUUAUUCAACAGAUUAGGAUAUGUGUUCUGAUGAAGCCCAUUUGUCAGAUCAAAAGUACCUUUUGAAAAUAACCUUUAAGCAGGUACAUUAAGCCCACUUUGCUAUUGAUAAAAUGACUUUUUUAUUGGUUUGAUGUAAUAAAUAAUAAUAAUAAUUCUAAACUUAAACGUCAUGUUUUAUGAGCUGUAAACUGAAAAUCAUCAUAAUUAACAGAAAUAAAGGCUUGAAAACAUCAGUCUGAGUGAUUAAUCUAUAUAAUGUACAGAUAAUGAACUUUUCAAUCAUAAUCUACCUUAUGACUGUAUAUCAGCUUAGUAAAGUCAUAAGAUUUGUGGCUGAGAUAGUUUCUGUGAUGAAUCAUUAUUUCUAGUUUGUAUCAACCACUAAUGCUAAAUACAAACCUGCUAGUAAAUGGAGCUUCUACAGACUGGUUGCUGAUGAAAGCACAUGCUAGCUGUGGUUAUCAGGAAAAAAAAUAAAAACAAUUUACAUGCUACCUCAUUCCUAACCCUAGGUUUAAAAUGUUUACUGCUAUUUUAGCAAAAAUCAUUUUAUACCUGAAACCAUCUUUUUUAACAUGGAGGACAAACGAAGUGAGCCAAACUGUAUCAGUAUUUAGUUGGGAGUUGAUGAAUUUAAUUGAAUAAGCUAAUUUUAUUUCAAAAAUGUUGAUUAAAUUCUACUGAAUGUAAAUUAAAGCAAAUAGUUAUACCAGUUUUAUUAGUGUAUAGAUUUAAUAAACAUAUUAGACUUUUUAAAUUUGAAUGUGCACAACUGCACAGUAUAGUUUGCAAAAACAUUUCCAAUGCAUUCAUUAAAUAAACUAUAGAUGCAUUUUACACAAUACAUGUAAUUCCUGCUAUAAAUGUAUGUAUGUUCAUAGAAGUGGGUUGUAAUUUCAUGCCAUGUGCUAUGCUUCUUUCAGACAAAUACAGUCAUCAUAAACAUUUUGUUCUGGAGUUUAAAAAAAUAAAUAAUCUAGUCUUUUCCAGGGUCCAAAAUGAUUUAAAUAUAACCUGAAAAACAGGUUGUUCUUAAAAAGGAGACAACCUUUUUAGAUUACCUGUAUAAAUAAAAUUGACAUAAAAAAAACGUGCACACAACCACACAGAACAGACUUAAACACGUCAUCAUUUAUCAAAGAAAGAUUAAAUCAAAAUUAUAAAGUCUGUAAGAAACUCAGUAAACAACCAAUUAAGUACAGAAGACAAAACCCACCAGAGUUUAAAAAGAGUUCUGCUUACCAUCACUAGAAUACCAAGUGAUAGACAAUUAUCUCUUCUGAUUUGUCUACAUCUAACCUAAUGUGUUUUUUUAAUGCUGUCUUCACAUUUCUUUGUUAAUCAUAAUUCAAAAUGUUUAGGUUUAAUGUCUCAUUGAUCAAGCUCCAGUGGACCUUUUUUCAUUUCUACCCAUUUGAGUUUUUUGUACUAAAUACACAUUUUAUACAGUACUCUGUGUGUAAGUAUUUGACAUAUAUUAAACACAAAGCACACACUAAAAACCUUUCCCUGCAUAAAGGAAAGUAGUGCGUGAUAGGGAGUAUAUAGCCUUACCUUCAGCGAUAACUCACCACAUAUUAUAAAUUGGCCCGCAUUCCACAAAUUAAUCUCACACUUGGCAGUUCAUCGAUCUGCUGUUUCACUGUUGCUUAUUUGCAAUCAUGGAGUUCAUUAAUGGAGAAAAUUAUCUGAGCAAGGGAGGAGGGAGGAGAGUGUUAAACAAGCUGCGGGGACAACAGAAAGGGAAAGGGGUAGUGGUUCCAUUUUCAUGGAAUUUGCUGGAAUGGAAUGGGGCAUAGGUGGGAGACUUAGCAACAGGCAACUCACAGCAACACACACUCUAAUAAAUCAUGUAAUCCCUGAUACUGGAAGACAAACAUAGGAGCAGAUCCAAUCAGGACUUGUCAAGAUCCUUUUAUCUGGGACCAUCUCUGCUUGGUCACACACAGUACACAGUCCCGCGCUCCGCAUAUGACAAAUAGUGAAGCUACUGAUAGUCAGUGAUGAAUGAGAGAUGGCUAGGGACAGGGUUGCAGGGCCACUACCACUGCUGUAAGGAUGGUUCCCCUGGAUCUCUGGAUUUUAACAUGCAAAGUUCAGAGAAAUGUUUCCUGUGACUCACACCCCUAGCUGAAGACAACACAGUCUUUUCAUGCAAUUUCCUUGAUCAGCCUUUUCAGGUUUAUUAUGAACUGCUGUAUCCAAUGAAACUAAAAUCUGUCAAUGUAUACCCAGGGCUAAACGACAGGAAUUUAUUUGUGAAAUAAACAGUUUACACUGGGAUGAUGUGUUGUCCUCUGAUGAUUUGAGCAAAUGUGUCAUACUCUCAUUCAUAAAAUGUGAGGAAUACAUUUAAAGUCAGAUAAAAUCUAAAAACAAAAAUAAUUUAUUGUGGUUUAAUAUGAACUUGUGAAAAGUUAGGAAAACUAGAGAUGGUGCAUUAAGGAAAGCAAUUAAAGCUUGACAUGAUGCUUUUUAAAAAUCUAUGGAAAAAAGUUAUUCAAAAACUAAGGUUAGCACAAUGUUGUUUUUACAUUAACAUUUUGAAUGAUGCAAAAGGCAACAAUAAAUUGAUCUGGGAAAACAUAAACAAUCUUACUAAAAGGAACAUAAAACCCUUAGGAAAUCCCACUUUAAAAAUACAGGGAUAGUUAAAAGCAGUUGCCUCUCCUGGUUGAAACAAAUGUGCUGCAAAUACAUGAAAUCAUCAGCAAACAAUCCAUUGCAACUGCAUGACUUUCUUUGGUCCAGUCUAAAAAAAUCUCCAGGGCCAACUGAAGGUGUGUAUUAUCUCACUUUUACCGAUCCCUGUACCAGACCAGCAGUAUGAAUGCGCCCUCUGUUGCAUUUGCCAACAACCCUUUGUUAGAGAACUUAAUUGCAUAAUGUUGAAAAAACGAUUUUUUGGCUUACUGAUGUUACUGUAAGUCUCCUAAUCUUAUCAGUUGCAUGGCUAUUUUUAUGGAACACUGAUGUCUUUUGAAAGAAUGAUUAUUUCUCAUGUGUAAUCCUAAUCCUUUGGUACACCACACUAUUUAUACAGUUACUUGUAGCUGUGUGGUGACCUGAGUUGUACUAAAUUUGUGUUUGCUGUUUUUAGACAAAUUUAGCCUAGUUUAGCCUACAUGUCUAUGGAUAAUUUAUAUCUCCUCUAGCGGUAUUUUUAACCACAUAAAAUGUAUUUACAAUGUUUACAAUGUGGACUGUAAUUCUCAGAGGUAAAUAUGGGUGAAUCAAACCUGGACUAAAUCUUUAUUUAGUAGAAUUUCACUAUGCGUAAAUGUAUACAUAUAUUGAGUGGUAAUAUUAAAAAAGUUCUUCAAGAAA